rnacentral:misc_RNA from 1 species
CAAUGCCUGAACUUUCUUAUGCAUUUGUGUCACCAGUAAUCUCCACAAGAACAAAUUCCAUCCUUAAAAUGAUGAAAACGAUUUGUAUCCCGGAUAACUAUCUCCCUAUUUACAAGCUUUGAUAUAAACUUGGUUGCUGCAUGGCAGUUUACGCAUGCUCGAAGAUUCUUCGUUAUCCUAAGUUUAGUUCCUGGAGGAGUACUGAUAAGCCCAUAAGCAAUUGCUAGCCUUUCACUAUGAUUACAAAGUGUUUCUUCAAUUUCUUCAUCAUUCAAAUCAUGCAGAACAGAUUCUUUAUGCGGAGAAAAUCCAGCUUCUUUUAACUUUCUUUCUAAAUUCUGAAGCUCCUCAAAAAUCUCAUUGGAUCUUGGAUGUGAUCUAUCUCCAAAUUGAAACGCCUGAAGC